UACGUAGGGGGGCUAGCGUUGUCCGGAAUCAUUGGGCGUAAAAGCGCGUGUAGGCGGUCCGGUAAGUCCGCUGUGAAAGUCGAGGGCUCAACCCUCGAAUGCCGGUGGAUACUGUCGGGCUAGAGUACGGAAGAGGCGAGUGGAAUUCCUGGUGUAGCGGUGAAAUGCGCAGAUAUCAGGAGGAACACCAAUGCGAAGGCAGCUCGCUGGGACGUUACUGACGCUGAGACGCGAAAGCGUGGGGGAGCAAACAGG
rnacentral:rRNA from 1 species